AUGGGGAAGUUCCAUCAUUCAAGUAUUAAGAAAGAUUUAAGGCUUUCAUUGGUUGUUAUUCAUCAAGGUUCAUCCAAAGUUAUGUCUUGGUUCAUUCAAGAUUUCCUAUUGGAGAAAGCUUGGACAUUCAAAAUCAAAGCAUUAGGACUUCAUACUUCAUGGUCUCAUUAUUCCAUCAAACAUCAUUUCAAAAUCAAAAGAAAUUUAGGGAGACUAGAAAGAUGCCUUGAAGAGUAUUUUAUUCUGGUGUAUAAUCAAGGUAGUGAUUCAAGAGGCAUAAAGAUACUUCCAUUACAAGUUCUGAGGCCAUGA